UACAGAGGUCUCAAGCGUUGUUCGGAUUCAUUGGGCGUAAAGAGCGUGUAGGCGGCCCGGUAAGUCCGCUGUGAAAGUCGGGGGGCUCAACCCUCGAAUGCCGGUGGAUACUGUCGGGCUAGAGUGCGGAAGAGGCGAGUGGAAUUCCUGGUGUAGCGGUGAAAUGCGCAGAUAUCAGGAGGAACACCAAUUGCGAAGGCAGCUCGCUGGGACGCUACUGACGCUGAGACGCGAAAGCGUGGGGAGCAAACAGG
rnacentral:rRNA from 1 species